AUGGAAUUAUAUAUCUGUUGGAGGGGGAAGCCUAUCUAUCUCGAGUUCCCCAGAGUGGUCCCCAGGAUGUUCCUCGGGCCCCUGGCCCUGGCGGUGCUCUCCAGCGCUGCGGUCUAUGUGCUGUCCCUGCUAGAAGCAUCCAAGUUUUACUCUCAGCAAGCAGUCAGGGCUGUCCUUGAACUCAGCGUCAUCUUCAGACUCUGGACUUUACAAAAAGAAGUGAGGCGGCAGUUUGGGGCCACGGUGGCCACCAUGUUCUGCUGGGUGACAGCCACGCAGUUCCACCUGAUGUUCUACUGCCUGCGGACGCUCCCCAACGUGCUGGCCUUGUCCGUGGUGCUGCUGGCCUUCACGGCCUGGCUGCAGCUGCAGUAGGCCCGCUUCAGCCGGCUCUCGGCCUUCGCCAUCCUCGUGCUCAGGGCCGAGCUGAGCCUGUUCCUGGGCCUGGUGCUGCCGACACCGCUCUGCACCCGGAGGCUCUCCGUGGCAAAGGCCCUGCGCUGCGCCGUGCCAGCCGGGGCCCUCUGCUUAGGACUGACAGUCGCCGUGGACUCCUAUUUUUGGCGAUGUCUUGUGUGGCCGGAGGGAAAGGUGCUUUGGUACAACACCAUCCUGAACAAGAGUUCCAACUGGGGAACCUCCCCGCUGCUGUGGUAUUUCUACUCGGCCCUGCCCCGCGGCCUGGGCUGCAGCCUGCUCUUCGUGCCCCUGGGCGCCGUGGACAGGAGGGCCCUGGUGCUGCUGCCGCCCUCGCUGGGCUUCGUGGCCCUGUACUCACUGCUCCCGCACAAGGAGCCGCGGUUCGUAAUCUACACCUUCCCCGUGCUCAACAUCGUGGCCGCCAGGGGCUGCGCCUGCCUGCUAAACAAUUAUAAGAAGUCUUGGCUGUAUAAAGUGGGGUCCCUCCUCGUGAUAGGACACCUCGUGGUGAAUGCCACACACUCGACCACAGCCCUGUACGUGUCCCACUUCAACUAUCCUGGUGGUGUGGCCAUGAGGAAACUGCAUGAGUUGGUGUCCCCCAGGACAGAUGUCGCUCUGCACAUCGACGUCGCUGCCGCACAGACAGGCGUGUCUCGGUUUUUGGAGGUCAACGGUGCCUGGAGGUACGAGAAGAGGGAGGAUGUGCGGCCCGUGUAGGGGCAUAUGCGGGCUUACAAGCACCUCCUCGUGGAGGCCGCCCCUGCGCACCUGGCCCUCUACAGGGACACACACGGGGUCCUGGCCGGCAUCGCAGGCACCACCGGGGUGAGUCUGAACCUGAACGCACUGCCUCCCCUUAACGUCAACCUGAAGACAAAGCUGGUGCUUCUGGAGAGACUCUGUGGGCCUUCCUGCAAAGGGGCCAAUGUCCUUCCGAGGACAUCGGAGCUCCGUCAGCAUCCCGGCAGAUGAGACAGCGCGAGAAACAACGGAACCACGGACGUGCCCUGGACGCAGCCUGA